ACUCCUACGGGAGGCAGCAGUGGGGAAUAUUGCACAAUGGGCGCAAGCCUGAUCCAGCCAUGCCGCGUGUGUGAAGAAGGCCUUCGGGUUGUAAAGCACUUUCAGUUGUGAGGAAAGGUUAGUCGCUAAUAUCGGCUAGCUGUGACGUUAGCAACAGAAGAAGCACCGGCUAACUCCGUGCCAGCAGCCGCGGUAAUACGGAGGGUGCGAGCGUUAAUCGGAAUUACUGGGCGUAAAGCGCGUGUAGGUGGCUUGUUAAGCCAGAUGUGAAAGCCCCGGGCUCAACCUGGGAACUGCAUUUGGAACUGGCAGGCUAGAGUUUUGUAGAGGGUGGUAGAAUUUCAGGUGUAGCGGUGAAAUGCGUAGAGAUCUGAAGG
rnacentral:rRNA from 1 species